GCAGCACGGGUACUUGUACCUGGUGGCGAGCGGCGGACGGGUGAGUAAUGCCUAGGAAUCUGCCUGGUAGUGGGGGAUAACGCUCGGAAACGGACGCUAAUACCGCAUACGUCCUACGGGAGAAAGCAGGGGACCUUCGGGCCUUGCGCUAUCAGAUGAGCCUAGGUCGGAUUAGCUAGUUGGUGAGGUAAUGGCUCACCAAGGCGACGAUCCGUAACUGGUCUGAGAGGAUGAUCAGUCACACUGGAACUGAGACACGGUCCAGACUCCUACGGGAGGCAGCAGUGGGGAAUAUUGGACAAUGGGCGAAAGCCUGAUCCAGCCAUGCCGCGUGUGUGAAGAAGGUCUUCGGAUUGUAAAGCACUUUAAGUUGGGAGGAAGGGCAGUUACCUAAUACGUGAUUGUUUUGACGUUACCGACAGAAUAAGCACCGGCUAACUCUGUGCCAGCAGCCGCGGUAAUACAGAGGGUGCAAGCGUUAAUCGGAAUUACUGGGCGUAAAGCGCGCGUAGGUGGUUUGUUAAGUUGGAUGUGAAAUCCCCGGGCUCAACCUGGGAACUGCAUCCAAAACUGGCAAGCUAGAGUAUGGUAGAGGGUGGUGGAAUUUCCUGUGUAGCG
rnacentral:rRNA from 1 species